rnacentral:rRNA from 1 species
CGUGUAGGCGGUACGGUAAGUCAGAUGUGAAAGCCCUCGGCUCAACCGAGGAAGUGCAUUUGAAACUGCCGAACUAGAGUACGGGAGAGGGUCGUAGAAUUCCCGGUGUAGAGGUGAAAUUCGUAGAUAUCGGGAGGAAUACCGGUGGCGAAGGCGGCAACCUGGACCGAUACUGACGCUGAGACGCGAAAGCGUGGGGAGCAAACAGGAUUAGAUACCCUGGUAGUCC